UGUUCUGAAGGACGGACGGACGAGGAGGGGAAAAAACAUGAGCAGACUGUGGACACAAGCCUGCAGAGACACCUGGAGGACAAUUACAACAAGUGUCUUUCAAGAGGGAGGAGCCAUGCAUAGAGAUGCUGUUAUGCAAAUGUGGUACAUGAGGUUUAAGAAAACAAACUAAGAAAAGGAACAUUUCACAACCUGACACAUGAUGUCUACAGGACCAGAGAGUGUCUACAGUGAUGAUUAGCCUACACGGUGGAGCCAGCCCUCUCAGCCCCCCUUAAGGAGACAUGAGCUUCCCUGGAAACAUGAUUUGUGAGAUUUUGAUGUGGUCUCUAAAAUAUUGGUAAAAUAUUGUUUUUUGAUUGAUUUGUAAAUUUCAUACGUGUUUUGAUAUCGACUGUGUGAAUGAGGAAAUGAGCCGGAGUGUCAGACAGCUCCUUCAGGCUCAUCAGGAGGAGGAGACAGAGAGAAACUCAGGGUUUGUUGAAGAAAACCUGCCAGCGAGCAGGUUAGGUUCACGGAGUACGUUGCCGGGGUAACUGACUCAGCGUUAAGCUGAACUGGCUUUAUGAAACCGAAAAACCAGAGUUUCCCUCAUCUCAGGGUUAACUAACUCAGAGUUUUCACUAAACCUGCUUUCUGAAACGGGCCCCAGGUGUAAACCACGGCGAGAUAACGACACCAGGAGACCACAAAGUCCACACACCGUGACAUGUGACAUGUGGACAGUUUUUCUGAACGCGUCCAGCUAUUUUCCCUACACAUAAAAUAAGCGAAUAAAGAAAAUACACGACCAUAA